GCCUUCGUAGCCCAACAGGUAGAGGCAAGAGACUUAAAAUCUCUUAAGUGCAGGUUCGAAUCCUGCCGGAGGUACCA
rnacentral:tRNA from 1 species